ensembl:lncRNA
AUUGGCUUUUAAGUGCUGAGCUAGUUUCGAGGAAACUGGGUUUAUCUUUCUGAGAAAAUUGGAACUGUGGUCCUGUAGGGCCUGUCAUGGAGUUUGAGUUGCUCUUACAGUGGCAGCAUCUGAGCUGCCUCUUGUUUUGUAUGUGAACCCUCUGGGGCAGUAGCAAGUUGGAGGCCUGGUCCAGCACCUCAGUCAGCUGGCCUGGAAAGCCUGCUGUAACUCUGGACCUGUUUCAGCCAACAUGCUUUCUACCAGGCAAAGAAUCUAUACCAGACACUGUCUUGGAAAACCCAGUCUCGAGAAGUAGUUUAUUGAUCUGGCAGAUGAUUAAAAGACAACAGAGAUGAGCUCAAGUGAUGCUUGGGUUUUUCCAUCCUGAAAGGGAAUCUGAAAUUUCCUUGGGGGGUUGUCAGCCCGUCCUGCUGUUGCAGGAGGCAGAUGGCUCCUCCAUUCAGUCAAAGAUCAUGUGAAUGUCCCCGUCUCGGGCUCUCUUCUGUUCUUGGCAAGAUUCCCUGGACAGUGACAGGGUCCACCCUGGAUGCAGGCAGUCAGAAUCUUGUUCCCGAUUGUGCCUAUGCCCAAAAGGAGCUGGCGCAUGGUCUAUCACCCAGGCUCUGCCCUGGCCCCUCUGCUUAUGGGAUGGGGGUGGGGUGUGAUUACUAGAAUGGCUGCAAAGUUUUAGGGCUGCUCCAGGAGGAAAGAAGGGAAAAACUGACGUGCUCACAUUGCAAAGAGCUGACCCAGAUCCAGGAGUCCAGAGAAGGCAUGGAAUUUGGGCUGGUGUGUAUGAAGUCACCUGGAGUUGUCAUCUGAAACAGUCAUUGCUGAGGCCAAACCCUGGGUGACCUCACGUCCUGUGCUGCUAAGCAGAGAGGCUAUGGCUCGGGGAGAAAUUACAGGAGCAUCAGUGCUCAGCCAGCAGAUUAUUUACAGCCUGUUCUUAAUGCGAGGGCUUUUACAGCAGGGGUUUUGUGGACAAAAGUACAUAUUAAAAGGCUAAUGUGAUCACUCAUGUUGGCAGUGACAUAUAACCAGGUUGGGUUUCGCAGAACACCUAGAGCAGUGAAGCAUGCUUCAAUCUGAUGACACAGAAAACAGCUCUGUGCUGGAACAAAUCGCACCCUGCCCAGGCCAGCAACAGGAGAGCCUGACAACGAAUUUCUUCAAAGCAAACUUUUCUCUCCUUCUCUUACACACUUUCCAACUCUGUUGUCCGAAUUGUAUGUGUACGCUUUUAUACAUCAGCUCCUGAACUACCAAAGAAAACCGAUUCUGCUUUGGAAAAUACGGACAAUAAAAAGACCCAAAUUCUCCCCUUCCUGCCACAAACUUCUCUGCAAAACUUGUCUAUGGUUAUAAAAAAAAAGCAUUGUCCCAGAAAAGCAUGCAUACAGAUAGUUAGAAAGGAACUUCUUUCAACAUUUUAUGGAGAGAUAUUUUUAGAGAUAACAUGAGCCCCUUUUGCCCUCUCCUCCCACAACCUCCCAACUUUCACAGCCCACUGUUUUUUGUCAACGAUCAUUGUAGUUACAGCUCAUGAAUCAUCCAUCACUUAGACGGAUUCUGCCAAGAAUGCUGAUAGCAUCACAGCCCCAGGGAGCAGCCUGCAUCGGCAGGAGCACAAGGAUGCUGGGGCAAUGCCU